UUGGUUGCGAUGAUUAGAAAAGAAAUUCCUCGUUCUGAAUGCUAUAGCCAUGGCAUGACAGACUCCUUUACACCCAUAGAAUAUGAGCACC